rnacentral:tRNA from 1 species
GUCAGGAUGGCCGAGUGGUCUAAGGCGCCAGACUCAAGCGGAGGCUUCCUGCGCCGGGACUUCUGGUCUCCGGAUGGAGGCGUGGGUUCGAAUCCCACUUCUGACA